GACGAACGCUGGCGGCGUGCCUAACACAUGCAAGUCGAACGGGACUUGAGGUGCUUGCACCUUAAGUUUAGUGGCGAACGGGUGAGUAACGCGUGAGGAACCUGCCUUUCAGUGGGGGACAACAGUUGGAAACGACUGCUAAUACCGCAUAAUGUACACGGAUCGCAUGAUCUGUGUACCAAAGCUUUAUGUGCUGAAAGAUGGUCUCGCGUCUGAUUAGCUAGUUGUGGGGUAACGGCUCACCAAGGCGACGAUCAGUAGCCGACCUGAGAGGGUGAUCGGCCACAUUGGGACUGAGACACGGCCCAAACUCCUACGGGAGGGCAGCAGUGGGGAAUAUUGCACAAUGGGGGAAACCCUGAUGCAGCAACGCCGCGUGAAGGAAGAAGGUUUUCGGAUCGUAAACUUCUAUCAACAGGGAAGAAUAAUGACGGUACCUGAAUAAGAAGCCCCGGCUAACUACGUG
rnacentral:rRNA from 1 species